UACGGAGGGUGCAAGCGUUGCUCGGAAUUAUUGGGCGUAAAGGGCAGGUAGGUGGUCUCAUUUGUCUGGGGUGAAAGCCUUGAGCUUAACUCAAGAAGUGCCCCAGAAACGGUGAGACUAGAGUCCUGGAGAGGGUCGUGGAAUUCCCGGUGUAGCGGUGAAAUGCGUAGAGAUCGGGAGGAACACCAGAGGCGAAGGCGGCGACCUGGACAGGUACUGACACUCAACUACGAAAGCGUGGGGAGCAAACAGG
rnacentral:rRNA from 1 species